CUUUCCUGUUAGUGACAUUGAAGAAACUGAGCACCUACAUGUAAGAAGUCAUAUAUUAAAGAGAGGAUGUGAGGAGGCAUAAUGUAGAUAUUAAGGUGAGAUGAGCAGAAGAACAGAAGGAAAAGUGCUGAGCUUUCUAGAAAGUACAGAUGGAUUGGUACCACAGUGAACAGUUAAGGUUCUUGUACCAUGCUCAUCACCAUAGUGUCUGAGCGCCUUCCAGUAGAACACUAAGUGACAUGAUUCACACCUGUCAUGCUCUGUUUGUUAUCGCAUCCUCACCCCAGGAGAAGGAAUAUCUAAGUCAUAGAAAAAUCAAAGCGAUGCGAGCCACUGGUUUGGAUCAUCUGCACACAAUUCAAAAAGAAAAAGGUGACUUUUUAAAAUUUCCCACCAGCAAGUGGGAGAGGUGUAGGCAAGUGUGAAUUUAUGCACAAAAUGCUAAAUCCAAGCACAAUAAAAGACCUCUUAUCGUCAUAUAAAGACUUCCAUGUGCAAUAAUUACUGAUCAGACCAUCCACAUGCUACAUUACUUAAUGACAUCCAAAGAUUGCUGCACUUUCUGAACCAAUAGCAGCUAUACAGUGACCAGCAUCGUUCCUGAAUGGAAAAAUUGGCCCAACCACUGGUGAAUGGCACGCAGUAGGUUUCCCAUUGAACUACGCAGCACAACAAUGAUCCACAUUGGUAAAUCAUUCUGUGUGCUUUUCAAUUCUUUUGCAUAUCAGCUUCCAUUCAUUCUGGCACCCAAGGCAAACAAAUGUAAGAGAUGAAAGUGAAAAUGCAUAUGUUAAAUCCAAAUGGAAGCAGAUGAGUGUGAUAUAUACCUAGAGUUGCUUAGCAACAAACAUAUUUUGGCCACAGGAAUUGUGACAUAAGUCAGAGACGGGAAAGAGACGCUAUUCUGCACUACUUGUCUGUCUCCCUAGAAGCUUCAUAAGGCUCCUUCUUUAGUUAUUUUAAGGCAGAAAAUAAAAGACUAUUGUGGACAUUUGUUUAUGCUAUUAAUACAACAGACUCUAUGACAAUAAUCUUUUCCUUGAGUGGAAAAAUGUUUUCAUUCAAGAUAUCUAUUGUAAAGAUGUAUGCCUCCAUCUAUCCACACUCAUCAUGAACACCUCCUACAUGGUUCAACUUAACAUUCUUGAUCUCUAGAGUUCAUUGGAAAACUUCAAUUUUUUUAAAAUAAAAACAAAGGGCACCUUUUUUUAGCAUAAAAAUCCCAUUUUAGCUCUGGUAGGAGAAACAUUUGUUUUAUUAACAUUUCACAUUCAAAGCACUGUGUGUUUUCAGAAGGCAAAAUAAAAUGUAAAUAGUUAACACUUACGUGGCUGUUAGUUAUGUAUUAUUCUCAUUUUACAGACAGUGAGGCAUAAACACCCUCAUAAAAAUACAACAGUGUUCCACAGCAUUGGCCUCCAGCAUUGCAGUGUCACUCCAGUAAGCAGCAGUGUUUCAAACCCUUAAGGCACUGUGGUGCUAAUAGGGGAGAGUCAGCCAGCAGCAGAGCCAGCAGCAGAGGUGUGAUGAGAAGUCCUAGGGCCCAGUAACGCAAGAGCACGUGUAACUCCUUUUCAAGCAAAUGAGUGUUAUGCAUGUAAAGCUAUCAGAUAAUCAAGUGCCCCUGGCUUCCAGCAACAUCCUCACCCCAUAAGAUCAUGGCACCUUUCACGUAUAGAAAGACAUAACAUUUAUUUUGGGGGCGGGGUGUCAAGCAAACUGUCACAUUAUUGCUACACAAGGCACACUGGAAACAUUUUUCAGUGUUUCCUUUACUUUAAGGUAAUGAAUGAAUUAAUUUUAUUGGGCAGGAAGAGAAAUCUGAUCCUGAGUGAGGGGAACAGAACAUAUGAAGCAUGCACUUUGAGUUCCUUGCAAAAAAAAAGGACUUUCCCACAAGAUUAAGAAAUGGAGAGGAGCAUAAAGUAUGUGUGAGAACUCAAAUGCUCUUAGAUUUAGGAAGUUAAGUGUGUGCAGCUUGAGAAAGCUAAGAGAGUUGAUGGCUACACCAGAAGAACAUAACAUAUGAAUGGCCAUACUGCGUCAGACCAAUGGUCCAUCUAGCCAAGUAUCCUGUCUUCCACAACAGUAGCUAGUGCCAGAAGCUUCAAAAGGAAUGAACAGAACUGAGCAACUUUCAAAUGAUCCAUCUGUCAUCCAGUCCCAGUUUCUGGCAGUCAGAGGUUUAGGGACACCCAGAGCAUGGAUUUGCAUCCCUGACCACCUUGGCUAAUAGCCAUUAAUGGACCUAUCCUCCAUGAAGUAUGCAUGAUUAGAGAAGAAUGUCUAGGAAAUGAAUCAGGAUCUUCUAGGAAUAUUUGCUGGAGCAAAUCCAACAUUCCAAUGUUCUGUUGCUAUACAAGGGUCUUUGGUGGAGAAUUACACAAAAUGUGCCAUGUUGUCCACCUCCAAUUAUCACAUUGGACAUAAAAUAACAGGAAUCUGGAGCACAGGGAAAAUAAAGACUGAAGUGGAAGAAGGAGGAAAUGAGAGAGUCAGUAUUGGAAUGAGUGUAGGCUGAGGAGAAAACCUGUCUUUAUUUCCUAUCUUCACUCCUUUCCGUUUCUCUUCCUUUCCCCAGCUCCCACCCACUGUGCCCUGAUUGAUAGAUACUCAAGGCAGAUGCAGAAGGGUUGCAGGGCUGUGUUAUCUUGUGUGGAUAGCACAGUGGGACAGGGCAGAAGGGUUGCAGUGGGGAAAAUAUAAUCAUUUCAUAAUGGGUUCUAUGUUAUCUCUUCAAGAAUCAGUGAGCAAAAGGGAACUCAUAUUAGUCACAAGUCAGCUGUCCUUUAUCAUCCCCUUUGUUCAAUAGUGUGAUACUUCCAUUCAAAAUGUUAACAAAAAUGUACGUUUUUGGUAAUUUUCUAUAUUUGUGAAGGGAACUAAUAAAAUGGAGCCAUAAAUGUCAUUUACGUUUUGUGUGUGCGUGUAUGCAUGCGUGCCUGCCUGUGUUCAUUUUGGAAUGAAUGGCCCUGGGCCUCAUUUGGCAGUAGAGCUGGCAGUCAUUAAUUGCUCUUGAUUAUGAGCUAUCAUUCUAUUGGGAUUAAUCUACUAAAGAACCAAAUUCAGAUUUGAUGUAACUUUUCAAAAAGUAAUGUAACAGUGCCAUGGAAAGGGAGCAGCAGACCACGGAUUGAGCAAGAUUAAAGGAGAAUUGAGGCAGAGCAUAAAGAUCAUUGUCACAAAGCAGGAUUUUCUUCCAUUUUCAACUGCUUCCAGAUUUCUCCGUUUCCAUGCUACCUAUCAGUAUUGAACUGAGAAAGAAUAGUGGACAAGGGUACAAAGGGAGCAGAGGCUAGGAGCAGCAUAAAAUAUAUUAAUUACUAUGAUUAUUUAUUAUGUUACCAGAAAACAAUUUCCCAGGAAGGGCAUUAUGAGAAUAUGGGUUGGCAUGGCAAAAGGUAUGAAGAUGUCUGUGACAGAGAAGGAGAUUACUGGGGGCAUCGAGGAUGGCUGCAAAGGCAGAAGGAGGAGGAGGAGGGCAGGGGGGAACACCCCAAAGAAGACCAGGCCUGAGAUGUAGGUAAGAGAUUGCAUGAUAUAAGGUCUGAAGGCAAGGAUUAGAAGUUUGAUGUUGAUCACCAUUGCAAUGGAGACGCAAUGAAGUGACGCAAGAGGGAUAGAAAGGUGACAUAGUGGACAUGAUGGAUGAUAAGAUGUUAAUUGUUUGCUUAAACCAACAUCUAGAAAUGCAAGAUCUGCAGCUGAAACUUAUGGCUGGCUUCUGCCAUUAUAAUGGUCAAACUGGGAUCCUAGGUCCGAACAGCGUGAACUGGUGAGCUUGGAAAUUUGACCUUUUGACUCCUAUCUGAUGGCUUGGAAGCCCAUCUCUAGUAACUUUCAGAAAUUCCCUGGCAGUUUUCUUUUCCAGCAAACUUUUGACAGUUUCUUAAACCAAUAACUAUGUAAGCUCAAGAAAUAAUGAACUUGCCUGCAAAAUAGAUGUUAAUAAGGCCUGUCAGAUUGCCAUCAUUUUAAAUGCCAAUAAUCAAAAUUUGUAAUGGUAAUUGCACAAAAUAUUGUACAUGUCACAUUAAU